rnacentral:rRNA from 1 species
UACGUAGGUGGCAAGCGUUGUCCGGAAUCAUUGGGCGUAAAGCGCGUGUAGGCGGUCCGAUAAGUUCGCUGUGAAAGUCGGGGGCUUAACCCUCGGAUGCCGGUGAAUACUGUCGGGCUUGAGUACGGAAGAGGCGAGUGGAAUUCCUGGUGUAGCGGUGAAAUGCGCAGAUAUCAGGAGGAACACCAAUUGCGAAGGCAGCUCGCUGGGACGUUACUGACGCUGAGACGCGAAAGCGUGGGGAGCAAACAGG